rnacentral:rRNA from 1 species
GAUGAACGCUGGCGGCGUGCUUAACACAUGCAAGUCGAACGAAGCACUUUAUUUGAUUUCCUUCGGGACUGAUUAUUUUGUGACUGAGUGGCGGACGGGUGAGUAACGCGUGGGUAACCUGCCUUGUACAGGGGGAUAACAGUUGGAAACGGCUGCUAAUACCGCAUAAGCGCACAGCAUCGCAUGAUGCAGUGUGAAAAACUCCGGUGGUAUAAGAUGGACCCGCGUUGGAUUAGCUAGUUGGUGAGGUAACGGCCCACCAAGGCGACGAUCCAUAGCCGACCUGAUAGGGUGAACGGAAAAAUUGGGACUGAGACACGGCCCAAACUCGUACGGGAGGCAGCAGUGGGGAAUAUUGAACAAUGGGCGAAAGCCUGAUGCAGCGAAGCCGCGUGAGCGAAGAAGUAUUUCGGUAUGUAAAGCUCUAUCAGCAGGGAAGAUAAUGACGUUACCUGACUAAGAAGCACCGGCUAAAUACGU